rnacentral:rRNA from 1 species
UGAAUACGAGAUGCUACGGCGUCGAAGCAGUGUAUGUCAGACUUCCAAGAAAAGCUCGCAAUGUCAUAAAUAAAGAAUGCCUGUACCAUAACCGACACAGGUGGGUAGGUAGAGUAUACUAAGGAGCGCGAGAUAACUCUCUCUAAGGAACUCGGCAAAAUAACUCCGUAACUUCGGGAGGAGGAGUGCCUUCUUUAAGAAGGUUGCAAUAACAAGAUCCAAGCAACUGUUUAUCAAAAACACAGGUCUCCGCUAAGUCGUAAGACGAUGUAUGGGGCUGACGCCUGCCCAGUGCCAGAAGGUUAAAGAAGCUGGUUAGCAAUAGCGAAGCUGGUGACUGAAGCCCUGGUGAACGGCGGCCGUAACGAUAACGGUCCUAAGGUAGCGAAAUUCCUUGUCGGGUAAGUUCCGACCCGCACGAAAGGCGUAAUGAUUUGGAUACUGUCUCGGAGAGGGACUCGGUGAAAUAGACUUGUCUGUGAAGAUGCGGACUACCUGCACCAGGACAGAAAGACCCUAUGAAGCUUUACUGUAACCUGAAAUUGAAAUUGGACUUUAUUUGCGCAGUAUAGGUGGGAGGCGUUGAAAGUAAUCUUGCGGGAUUAGUGGAGCCAUCAGUGAGAUACCACUCCUAUAAUGUUAGAUUUCUAACUUUGGAUCAUGAUCUGGUCAAAGAACAGUUUCAGGCGGGCAGUUUGACUGGGGCGGUCGCCUCCCAAAUGGUAACGGAGGCGUACAAAGGUUUCCUCUGAACGGGUAGAAAUCGUAUCUAGAGUGUAAAGGCAUAAGGAAGCUUGACUGUGAGACCUACAAGUCGAGCAGGGACGAAAGUCGGUCUUAGUGAUCUGACGGUGCUGAGUGGAAAGGCCGUCACUCAACGGAUAAAAGUUACUCUAGGAUAACAGGCUGAUCUCCCCCAAGAGUUCACAUCGACGGGGAGGUUUGGCACCUCGAUGUCGGCUCAUCGCAUCCUGGGGCGGUAGUACGUCCCAAGGGUUGGGCUGUUCGCCCAUGAAAGCGGUACGCGAGCUGGGUUCAGAACGUCGUGAGACAGUUCGGUCCAUAUCCGGUGUAGGCGUUAGAAUAUUGAGAGGAGCCUUCUCUAGUACGAGGGGACCGAGAAGGACAUACCUCUGGUGUACCAGUUAUCGUGCCAACGGUAAACGCUGGGUAGCUAUGUAUGGAGAGGAUAACCGCUGAAAGCAUCUAAGUGGGAAGCCCACCUCAAGAUGAGUAUUCUCAC